CUGUCUAGCUGUCCCACCAAGUCCUAAGGAGCACCUCUAGACCUUUGGCACCUGCGUGCUACAGCCGUUGGAGCGCUACUGAGUUCACACAUGUGCCCACCGCUCUUACCUUGUGGGAAUGGACCCCUCCAGCGGAUUUUCCUCCUGCGCUUCGGUUGGUCAGUUUUAGAGAAAGGGGCACGCACAUCGGCGUCGAUGGAGGACGACCUGGCAGGCCCCGCUGGUUAACGUUUAAGUCCCUCCGGAAGUUUGAUCUCGACCACCAUGUGACUUCCGGAUGUUCUGAUCUGAAAGCCAGGUUGGCCAUCUGCUGGCGCUUGCUAAUACUGAAGGCUUUGGAGGCAUAUAUGACUCCAAUUGAAGCCUCGUUCCUCUGCCCGCAGUGUGACCUAGGCCCAUUGCUGAAUCUCACUAGUAAAGUGGCACAGUGGUACUAGCGUUGCAUAUCGUUGUGUUGGUUAACUGGAGUGGUGCGUUCACCGGCCUGGUGCGUAGGUGUUUAAUAAACAGUGAUUUGUAUCCAGGCCCUGUUCUCGGCGUGCCUCCUGCUUCUCGGCGGGCCUCCUGCUACAGCAGUUGGCUUGGCUAGGCUCCAGUGAUCAGCUGCCCCCAGGAUAAAUGUGAGCCCUUGCCAUCCAUCCAGUAGAUGGAUGAUUUGUACUUACCUUACCCAGCUAUAGUCAUAGAUGGAUUGGACAACCCAAACAUUUUGGAGUUUGUUCCUGGCUUGGAGCUGGAGGCAGUGCCAGCAGAUUACUGGAACUCUGGACAGGAGCUAUCACUGAGAUGUCUCCAAGCUCAGGAGUGCCAUCUGUGUUCAGAGAGGCAAUACAAAAAAGCAAGCAAACAACAACUGAGUACGACCUUUCUGUAAGUUGCUUGUCCUGGUGAUGCCCAAUUCCGGCCUUACUUUCCUUCCUAGUCUCUUAAUACAUGGUCAGAGAAGAGGAAACAUCAACUCCGGAUACAAGGGAUGAGGAGACGAUACUGGAGGAUGUCUGAGCGGCUGAGGCCGAAGAGUGCAUGUGCCCCGUACGAAGGUCACCGGUCACUGGUCACU